rnacentral:rRNA from 1 species
GGGAUAUUGGACAAUGGGCGAAGCCUGAUCCAGCCAUGCCGCGUGUGUGAAGAAGGUCUUCGGAUUGUAAAGCACUUUAAGUUGGGAGGAAGGGUUGUAGAUUAAUACUCUGCAAUUUUGACGUUACCGACAGAAUAAGCACCGGCUAACUCUGUGCCAGCAGCCGCGGUAAUACAGAGGGUGCAAGCGUUAAUCGGAAUUACUGGGCGUAAAGCGCGCGUAGGUGGUUUGUUAAGUUGGAUGUGAAAUCCCCGGGCUCAACCUGGGAACUGCAUUCAAAACUGACUGACUAGAGUAUGGUAGAGGGUGGUGGAAUUUCCUGUGUAGCGGUGAAAUGCGUAGAUAUAGGAAGGAACACCAGUGGCGAAGGCGACCACCUGGACUAAUACUGACACUGAGGUGCGAAAGCGUGGGGAGCAAACAGGAUUAGAUACCCUGGUAGUCCACGCCGUAAACGAUGUCAACUAGCCGUUGGAAGCCUUGAGCUUUUAGUGGCGCAGCUAACGCAUUAAGUUGACCGCCUGGGGAGUACGGCCGCAAGGUUAAAACUCAAAUGAAUUGACGGGGGCCCCGCACAAGA